rnacentral:rRNA from 1 species
AUUGAACGCUGGCGGCAUGCCUUACACAUGCAAGUCGAACGGUAGCAGGUCUUCGGAUGCUGACGAGUGGCGAACGGGUGAGUAAUACAUCGGAACGUGCCCGAUCGUGGGGGAUAACGAAGCGAAAGCUUUGCUAAUACCGCAUAAGAUCUACGGAUGAAAGCAGGGGACCGCAAGGCCUUGCGCGAACGGAGCGGCCGAUGGCAGAUUAGGUAGUUGGUGGGAUAAAAGCUUACCAAGCCGACGAUCUGUAGCUGGUCUGAGAGGACGACCAGCCACACUGGGACUGAGACACGGCCCAGACUCCUACGGGAGGCAGCAGUGGGGAAUUUUGGACAAUGGGCGAAAGCCUGAUCCAGCCAUGCCGCGUGCAGGAUGAAGGCCUUCGGGUUGUAAACUGCUUUUGUACGGAACGAAAAGACUCUUUCUAAUAAAGAGGGUCCAUGACGGUACCGUAAGAAUAAGCACCGGCUAACUACGUGCCAGCAGCCGCGGUAAGAC